rnacentral:lncRNA from 1 species
CUCAAGAAGCAGUCUUCUGCCGAUGCCUUGGAAAAACUGAAGGUAAUAACAAGUUAUGCUCCGAAAUUGUUACAGUUUUUCUUUUAUAUUCAGGCUUUGGGAUUUCAACACCCACGGCACGAACUCCUUCUUGUUAUUCGGGCCGAGACACACAUAAAGGUCAUCAUAAACAACGGUUUGAAGUUCAGUGUUCCCGUCGUUACACAGUGCAUGGAAUCGGAGCUUGCAUCCUUCGUACCACCAAUGUCGAGCUCGAGUUCUUCCGCAGAAUGAGAUCUAUCUUGGCAGGAAAGUCUUGCUGCAGUCCAUGACUUGCCUUCCGAUUUAGAACUUGGCGACACUGAAGACGAGUCAGAUGUUCUACCAGCAUCACUUGCGGAAGACUUUGGUCUCGACGAUACAACCAGUAGGCAGAGAAUUUGAAGCUCUGCUCAUGGAGCUCCAACAACAAAAGAAUCAUUGCCACCUUCUGGAAAGCCAGCAAAGUACUGCAAAUUCAUGUGCUUGAUGGUGUGAAUUCCAGGUAAAGAAUGCUCCAUAAGAAAUCAUAGAGUCUUUGGAAACAGGUACCGGGCAAUAUGUAAAUGUGUCCCAGCUUGGAGAAUGCUUUCCAGGAGCUAUUGAAGGAACAAGGGUGAUUGUUCUGUUUUCGUUGUAUGAAUAUAAUUUGUUAAAAAAAUGCUACAACGUUUUAAGCAUAAUUGGAAGGGAAGCCAACACACAGUGAAGCAAGGU